ACUCACUCUCUCUCUCUCUGCAUUUUGUUUUUUUUGUCGUUCAACAACAAGAAAAAAAUCAAAAAAAAAAAAUGUCGAAAACUAAUUUCGUAUCAAAUCACGAUGAAAACAAACAAGACAUCUAUGUCUCAAAAUGGUCCACAAUGGCCACAAAAGAUAAACAGGCCCGUCAGGAACAGGAUAAAAAUUGGUUUCGUCAACGUAAACCAAAUGGCAAUGAAAAUGAAUGGGGACCAAUGUUCAAGAAUAAGGCACAUUUUUCCGAUAUGCAUUUAUGUUGAACAAUCGAAAUCGAAUGAAUUGAACAAAUUUUGUUUUUUGCAAACAAAAUACUAACCAAAUGUUUACUAACCAUGAAACAGACAUACAAAUCAAAUAUAAAAUCACAAAUCAAACAAAAAAAAAAAAUUCAAUAAUCCAGCCAAAUGAAACUAACGAGACAAGAAAAAAAAACAAGCAUCCGCAUUCAUGUUCCAAACGCUAUCCAAAAAAAACAAAACAAAACGAAAAACUUUAAUAAUAAACGCUAAUAAUAAAAUGAAAUGAAAAUAA